AGGCUCACAGACUGACGAUACUGUUACUUUUUUUCAGGUGAAAUAAAGUCAUCAUCAGCCAUGAUGAAUCUCUACAGUAUUACAGACUGCAAGCAAGAAUGCAAUUUUAUCAAGUUAAAAGAAGACACUUAAGAAUAUGACUGAUAAUUGAUCAAGUAACAGUGAGUAUAUAUUUGUUUAUUAAUCAUAUAACCAUUGAAGCAUAAAAUCACACUAGAAGACAAUACUAGCUAUAAAAGACAAUGAUCUUGGCAUACAAACUAAGAUUGUAAUUAAGAAUC